UAUUUGAAUGAUGAUUUCAUAGUUCAUCUGAUUGCUAUGAUGCAUAACACUUUUGUCUUUCGCUCCUAUCUGAUGCAAUAA